ensembl:lncRNA
GGGUCAUCACACCUAGUGGCAGCUUACACAGAGGUCCUGAUCACCUGUGAGUAGAGGGCAAAACCAAUUGAAGAGCAUGCUGGAGCCCUGAGAACUGCAAAGCUCCAGAGAUAUUUGAAUCAAGCUCAAGCAAGGCUGGUCUGUGAUAUGAAGGACAGCAUCUUGGUGUGAAAACCUGGGACCCUGAAAUAUGAGACAGGGACAUGUGGAUGGGUGCCCCUGAGGAUACUGAGUCUGCUGGCUCCCAAGCCAUAUCUAUGGUUAAGUGCCCGCAUAACCCAGCUGGAGAUGUGGUGGGCCCAGUAAGGGAGGAAACUGACUAUGCACUUAGCAAGUCGCAAGAAUUACUGCUAUGUAACGACAGGAGCUUGGGGUCUAUCCCCGGGAUUGGAUUUUGAGGAGACUUGAUCAAAGGAGCCAGAAGAUAACACUGGAUAAGCAAGAAUUCAUGGACUUGGGGGCACUUUUUUGGGAAAUGGGAUUUAACAUUCCAGGAGGCACCCCAGGGUGAGGCAACCACCGCAGCUGGCUGUUAGAAGCCUGGAAAAACAACGGUCAACCUCAGGGAAGUGGAACUUCCUGAAUUAUCCUGACAAAUGGUAGGGGAAGAAGAGUCUGAGGGACAAGGCAUGUUGGAACUAUCAUAACAUAUAAAAGGCCAGAAGCCCGACCAGAAGACACAUCGUUCUCCAAGGCCAUCUGGAAUGCACUGGAGAGGAGCACAGCAUCGCUAGUUCAGCGGGAGCCUCCUCUGCAGAACAGGUGAAGUCUAAUGGGAAAAUGGGCCUCAGCAUGACCUCUACCCUCUACUGCCUCCCCAGGACAAGUUCUCUGCCGCCUCCUUCCCUGCGUGCUGGCCUUCCAGGGCCCAUCCAGCCUCCACCUCCGUGUCCUGCAAUCACUGCUGUCCUCCAACCUUGGAGGGACCCGUUCAUGGGCAGAGGCAGGGUCAGGCCUCAGCAUCCCACAGCAUCUUGGGGCAGGGCAUGGAAGCAGCUGUCACUGCUUGGGCUGGCAGUAUUACGGUAUACCUGGUGGGUGACACACCAGAGGCUGUGUCUUGAUGGAGGAUCCUGGGCGUGGACCUACACACUGCUCAUUAAGCCAUGCUGUGGAGGCAUCCCACAUAGAAGAACUAGAAGGACUUACAACCAAGAUGUACAACUAUGUACUGGAGCUUUGGGGAGAAAAAAAAGAAGAAGAUUAGCAAAUGAUGUUAGCUCAUGGCCAAUCUUCCUCAGCAAAAAAAAAAAGAGUAACAGAAGGUAACAGUUGCAGGAAGCAGCUACCACCUCUCUAGUACUAGGGAAAAAAGGAAGAGGUUGGAGUUGUUAAAAUGUAGAAACUUGAAGGAGAGGCCCCACAACUGAAAGGCAAAGGGGUGAUGCUCAGCUGGUGCUAAGGCCUCUCCGCCUGGAGGAGGAUCUGUGCUGCUGCCACCUGGACCUCUUAGGGAGCAUCAGAGCUAGUGCUGGUGUCUCCAAGAGGAUGCAGUGGGCUGGCUGCCCAAGUAAUGGAUUCAACUGGAAGGAGCUGCGUGUGGAAGGUGAAGAAGCAGGGCUGGGGCCCCGACGGGAGCAGGAAGCAAACAGGAGGAGCGAGUGUCUUCUUCCUCUGCCAGACUGGCAGUCUCUCUAGAAUCCGCUACUGGCAGAGCCCAAAAGGAGCCAUGGCCGCAGGGGAAUUUGGUUUUAGAGUCCCAGCCCAACGUCUCAAAACCGAGUACCGAAGUGGGGGUGGGGGAGGGGGCUGUACCGGAGACAGUAGCUUCCUAACUGCACCUGGGACCACCCCGACGCUGGCGACAGCCAGGUGUCUCUGAUCUUUGACUUCCUUAAAAGCUCCCUUAAAGUAAAUGCUGACAUUUGCACAUCUCACUGCAGUCUUUUUCAAGCCUAUUAUUUCCUUUAAUCUUACGAGAUUCAUAGGAAUCAUUCUCUCCCUGUUGAAGACAAUGGUGCCCAGAAAAGUCAGACACUUGCCUAAUGACAUGCACUAUACAAAUGGAAGACCUGGGUCUCGGAUCUCAAGUCCAGUGUCUUCCACUAUACCAUACUGUCUUCUCAAAAUUUGCCCAAAAAGUAAAUGAAUCAGUGACCUGAUCUUUACUAGUAAAGCCUCAAUUAACCAAAAAUUAAUUCAUGCAAGCAUAUUUACUAAUUAUUUUAAUUCUCCUUGAGUGAGUUAAAUUUCUUCCAUUCAUUCCACAAACAUUUGAUAAGUCUAGGCUGACAAACAGAAAUGGCAAGCAGUAGGAUAUAUUGGAGUAUAUGAGGAAGCCAUUUGGUGUAAACCUAAUUCGGCCUGACUUGGUUUUUCCAAAAGGGCCUGACCGUGGCCAUUGAGCACGGCAUUGUAUAUCUGCUUAGACAUUUCCUAUGGCCAGAACAAAGGUCCUUGAGAUACAGGUGCAACUUCCCCCCACAUUGGCAUUUCCUUAGGGAUAAGCCUCUUUCCUUAGGCAGGAACUGAUUGCUGUACUCACCUUUGACCACCCAGUUCACCUGUGACCACCCAGUUCGAGACAGCAGACUUGCCACCCUGCUGUGUUCACCGAGACAGCAGACCUACCUGCUGUAUCCAUCAAUCGCUGUGCCAACAGAGCAGUCUUGCGACUAUUGUAAAAGGGACAUUUCAAUCCUAUGUGAAACAUCCUGUUUGGGGGUAUAUAACCACUCUGUACACGCCACUUCUCUGGUGCCCUUUCUUCCUUUGGGAAGAAAGGCCCCGGGCCAUGGUCCUCAGAUUUCAGCUCAGAAUAAACUCUCCC